CCGAGUUUACAACUCCCAAACCCCUGUGAACAUACCACUUGUUGCCUCGGCGGAUCAGCCCGCUCCCGGUAAAACGGGACGGCCCGCCAGAGGACCCUAAACUCUGUUUCUAUGUGUAACUUCCGAGUAAAACCAUAAAUAAAUCA
rnacentral:misc_RNA from 1 species